rnacentral:tRNA from 1 species
UUAGAAGUAGUAUAAUUAACUACGUUUUGCUUACAAUAAAAAAUUGGCUUAGCCCUUCUGGC